UUAAAAGAAGCCAAAUUGUAGGCUUACCACUGUUAAUGGUAGAUAGGAGAUUUACCCUUUUAAU
rnacentral:tRNA from 1 species